rnacentral:rRNA from 1 species
CCUACGGGUGGCAGCAGUGAGGAAUAUUGGUCAAUGGACGAGAGUCUGAACCAGCCAAGUAGCGUGAAGGAUGACUGCCCUAUGGGUUGUAAACUUCUUUUAUAUGGGAAUAAAACGUUCCACGUGUGGGAUUUUGUAUGUACCAUAUGAAUAAGGAUCGGCUUACUCCGUGCCAGCAGCCGCGGUAAUACGGAGGAUCCGAUCGUUAUACGGAUUUAUUGGGUUUAAAGGGAGCGUAGGUGGAUUGUUAAGUCAGUUGUGAAAGUUUGCGGCUCAACCGUAAAAUUGCAGUGGAAACUGGCAGUCUUGAGUACAGUAGAGGUGGGCGGAAUUCGUGGUGUAGCGGUGAAAUGCUGAGAUAUCACGAAGAACUCCGAUUGCGAAGGCAGUUCACUGGACUGCAACUGACACUGAGGCUCGAAAGUGUGGGUAUCAAACAGGAUUAGAUACCCCAGUAGUC